ACCACGCUGAAUACAUCGGUUCUAGUUCGAUCAUCAAAGUCAAGCAGCGUCGGGCGCGGUCAGUAGUUGGAUGGGAGGCCGCCUAGGAACACGUCGUGGUGU